AUCACCAGGGAAUCUUGUUAAAAUGUUAAAUCUGAUGCAGUAGGCCUGGGGUGCUUCCUGAGACUCUGCAUUUCUAACAAGUUCUCAGGUGAUUC
rnacentral:miRNA from 1 species